rnacentral:rRNA from 1 species
UAGUUGUUUAUUAUUAGUGGGGUUUGUGUGUAGUUUAAUUACAUAAAAAAUUAAUUGAUUUUGUUGAUUAGUAUUCUGUAGAAUUUUGUUAUUAAGGUUAUAGUUAAUGAGUACAGUGAUGGAAGUUUUAUUGAAUUAGGUUAAAGUAGCGUUGAGUUUUCGUACCUUUUGUAUCAGGGGUGAACUAAAUUGGUAUAUUAGUUAUGGAGUCCCGAAACAAAGAGAGCUAGGUUUUGUUGCUUUUUUACGUGGUAAAGUGAUUUGUAAUGGGUCUCUAGUGGUGAUAUGUUAGUCGAUUUUUGUAUAUCUGGUUUUCCGUUAAAUGAAUUUAAUUUUGUGUCAAGUUAGAGUUUAAUUUGAUAGUUACGAUAGGAGGAAUGAGCUUCUUAUCUGUUGUUUUGUUAAGCGUCUUAUUAGUUUUCAUCUGAGGUGGGCUUAAAAUCAGCCAUCUUGGUAUAACGUUAGAGUAAUGUUGAGGUUUUUUUAUUUUUAUAAGGUGUUUGCUUUUAUUAGCGGGAAAUGCCGUUUAUUGAUUAAGCGGCAGUUAAAAUGUUUAUAUAAGUAGAAUUGAAGUUAAUUUUUAUUUUAGAGUGUUAUUUGAUUUUUAAGUAGUUUGAGAAGCGCUUAGAAGGAACUCGGCAAAUUUUGUCCCCGCCUGUUUAUCAAAAACAUGUCCUGUGUGAAUUAGUUAUAAAGUCUAGCCUGCCCACUGAUUUAUUUAAAGGGCCGCGGUAAUUUGACCGUGCGAAGGUAGCAUAGUCAGUAGUCUUUUAAUUGGAGGCUUGAAUGAAUGGUUGGACGAGGGAUAAGCUGUCUCCUUAGCGGCGUUUGAAUUUAACUUUUGAGUGAAAAGGCUCAAAUUGUUUAGGGGGACGAUAAGACCCUAUAAAACUUAAUAUAAUUUAGGCUUAACUUGCGAUGUGGGUGAAAAGUAGUUUUGUCUGGUUUAUAUUUCGUUGGGGAGAUGAAGAUAUAAUGAGUAACUGUCUAUAAAAUUUUAUAGCAUUGACUAGAAUUUGAUCCUUCCUUGGGGAUUAGGAGAAUAAGUUACUUUAGGGAUAACAGCGUGAUUUUCUUUGAGAGUUCUUAUCGACAAGAGUAGUUGCGACCUCGAUGUUGAAUUAAAAUUUCAGCUAGGUGUAGCCGUUUAGCUGGUGGGUCUGUUCGACCUUUAAAAUUUUACAUGAUUUGAGUUCAAACCAUUGUGAGCCAGGUUGGUUUCUAUCUUUUAGUGGUUAAAAAAUGGCUUUAGUAUGAAAGGAUUGAGCUUUUGGGAUAAUCUUUGUAUAAGAUAAACUUUAAUGG